UAGGGAAUCUUCGGCAAUGGGGGCAACCCUGACCGAGCAACGCCGCGUGAGUGAAGAAGGUUUUCGGAUCGUAAAACUCUGUUGUUAGAGAAGAACACGAGUGAGAGUAACUGUUCAUUCGAUGACGGUAUCUAACCAGCAAGUCACGGCUAACUACGUGCCAG
rnacentral:rRNA from 1 species